UGAGGAAUAUUGGUCAAUGGUCGCAAGUCUGAACCAGCCAAGUAGCGUGCAGGAUGACGGCCCUAUGGGUUGUAAACUGCUUUUAUAUGGGGAUAAAGUGGGGAACGUGUUCCCUUUUGCAGGUACCAUAUGAAUAAGGACCGGCUAAUUCCGUGCCAGCAGCCGCGGUAAUACGGAAGGUUCGGGCGUUAUCCGGAUUUAUUGGGUUUAAAGGGAGCGUAGGCCGUUUGGUAAGCGUGUUGUGAAAUGUAGGAGCUCAACUUCUAGAUUGCAGCGCGAACUGUCAGACUUGAGUGCGCACAACGUAGGCGGAAUUCAUGGUGUAGCGGUGAAAUGCUUAGAUAUCAUGAAGAACUCCGAUUGCGAAGGCAGCUUACGGGAGCGCAACUGACGCUGAAGCUCGAAGGUGCGGGUAUCGAACAGG
rnacentral:rRNA from 1 species